GUGCCAGCCGCCGCGGUAAGACGAACCGUGCGAACGUUGUUCGGAAUCACUGGGCUUAAAGGGCGCGUAGGCGGUCAAUCCAGUCGGGGGUGAAAUCUUGCAGCUUAACUGUAAAAGUGCCUUCGAUACUGAUUGACUCGAGGGAGGUAGGGGCAGGUGGAACUUCCAGUGGAGCGGUGAAAUGUGUUGAUAUUGGAAGGAACGCCGGUGGCGAAAGCGACCUGCUGGAUCUCUUCUGACGCUGAGGCGCGAAAGCUAGGGGAGCAAACGGGAUUAGAAACCCUCGUAGUCC
rnacentral:rRNA from 1 species